AUUGAACGCUGGCGGCAUGCCUUACACAUGCAAGUCGAACGGCAGCACGGACUUCGGUCUGGUGGCGAGUGGCGAACGGGUGAGUAAUGUAUCGGAACGUACCUUUCAGUGGGGGGAUAACGUAGCGAAAGUUACGCUAAUACCGCAUAUUCUGUGAGCAGGAAAGCAGGGGAUCGCAAGACCUUGCGCUGAUUGAGCGGCCGAUAUCAGAUUAGCUAGAUGGUGGGGUAAAGGCCUACCAAGGCUACGAUCUGUAGCGGGUCUGAGAGGAUGAUCCGCCACACUGGAACUGAGACACGGUCCAGACUCCUACGGGAGGCAGCAGUGGGGAAUUUUGGACAAUGGGGGCAACCCUGAUCCAGCCAUGCCGCGUGAGUGAAGAAGGCCU
rnacentral:rRNA from 1 species